rnacentral:piRNA from 1 species
UCCGAUCGUUCCCCUCCAUAC